GUGUUUGGCACUCCUCUAAAUCAAGGUCUGCUGGAGUACGCUAUGAUGAGAACCAUUUCGAAUACCACCGGUUCACUUAAGUCCCUGGCGGAGAGAAGCAUUACGAAUACCACAGGAAACGAGAAGCGAGUGAGGGGAUUAUCCAUGCUGGAUUUCGUUGGUAUUGCCAUCACAGGAGUCUCCGUUUCCACCAUAAUCGCACUUUUUUGUUGUACUAAAAUCAAAUUCUGGUUGAGAAAGAUGUAAUAAACCUCGCAACCAAGAGAAUGGCGAUUUGAAAGCACUUUUUCCUGAAAUGCGAAAGUAUACAUGUUUUCUCACUUUUGAUGCUACAAAUUCAAUUCACAAAUCUCCGCGGAAGCAUAUACCGCAUUACACCACUUGCUUGUCGAAUGUCUCCUAGGUAUUGCCCGCAAUUAGAUUUUCCGAAACAAUUUUCGUCUAGCUUCUCUGUGCAAGCAGGGGCGGCGGAAAAUACUUUGCAUUUAGAGAUGCGGAAUAGCAUAUACAAAGUAAAAACAUUGCUAGUGUGGUUCUUACUUUGUAAAAAUAUUUUCAAUAAAUGUUAGUCUGGGCUGGGAAGGAUUAGGGAUAGAGGUAGGGGUAAGUUCCCACUUCUGGGGGUUACCCGAACACCUCCCUCUAUUCCGCCGUCUAUUCUAGUGUUAGGUAUACAGUACUCUACAGAGAUAACCUAACAAAUCGGAUUCAUGUUUACAAAAUCAUAUAAUUGGAAAUCAUUUACUCAGAGUAGAAUAUUCGAUUUUGAAUAAACAACUUACCAUAUGAUGGCAUAAUAAUUCUCUCUGAGUAAAAUUAUGUACAUAAAUCCACCACUAAAAGUUUAUCACCAUAUUUGUUGAGAAAACUUAAUCAAGGGCAUGCAUUGGUUAUUUUCUCCUGAACACCACGGUUUGCUUUGCUAUAUAAAUUAUAUGAAGGACGUGCCUGAACAGACAAUUUUUGUUCUUUGUGGUAUGGUCUAAUCUUUUUAGACAUCAAGCAGUGCUGUAAGUUUUUUAAGAGAACUUAAAUCGCGGUGAAAUCACAGAUGAGUGUUAUGUGGCUUGUUCCGCAAACCCAAGUGCAUGGCGCACAGUGUUAUGUAUAUAAUUUUAUACACCUUUAUAUGUGUGUGUCGAACGCUGAAAUGAAAAUUAAAGUAAUCCAAGUAUUCUCACGCUUGUAUACUUCAAUUUGACAAUAAAUGAUUAC